rnacentral:tRNA from 1 species
GCGUUGGUGGUUCAGUGGCAGAAUUCUCGGCUUCCACGCGGGAGACCGGGGUUCGUUUCCCCGCCAAUGCA